rnacentral:lncRNA from 1 species
GGCUGGGUGCCGGGCUGUAGAUCUAUAGUGAACUCGACUUCCUUAUCCACUGGCAGUCUGGAUAGUUCAUCCGAAAACACAUCUGCAAAGUUUCGGACUACCGGAAUCUCUUGAAUACAAUUCUCUUUCUUGGGUUUGCCUAGUUAGAGAAAAUAGCAAGGUUAAGAUACUUGACAAAUAAGAAAAUUUGCCAUCAAGGAAUAAAUACUAAAUGAUUUU